AUGAACGCUGGCGGCGUGCCUAAUACAUGCAAGUCGAGCGAACAGACGAGGAGCUUGCUCCUCUGACGUUAGCGGCGGACGGGUGAGUAACACGUGGAUAACCUACCUAUAAGACUGGGAUAACUUCGGGAAACCGGAGCUAAUACCGGAUAAUAUAUUGAACCGCAUGGUUCAAUAGUGAAAGACGGUUUUGCUGUCACUUAUAGAUGGAUCCGCGCCGCAUUAGCUAGUUGGUAAGGUAACGGCUUACCAAGGCAACGAUGCGUAGCCGACCUGAGAGGGUGAUCGGCCACACUGGAACUGAGACACGGUCCAGACUCCUACGGGAGGCAGCAGUAGGGAAUCUUCCGCAAUGGGCGAAAGCCUGACGGAGCAACGCCGCGUGAGUGAUGAAGGUCUUCGGAUCGUAAAACUCUGUUAUUAGGGAAGAACAAAUGUGUAAGUAACUAUACACGUCUUGACGGUACCUAAUCAGAAAGCCACGGCUAACUACGUG
rnacentral:rRNA from 1 species